GGGCCCGCACAAGCGGUGGAGCAUGUGGUUUAAUUCGAUGAUACGCGAGGAACCUUACCAGGGCUUAAAUGUAGUCUGACAGGGGUGGAAACACCCCUCCUUCGGGCAGAUUACAAGGUGCUGCAUGGUUGUCGUCAGCUCGUGCCGUGAGGUGUCAGGUUAAGUCCUAUAACGAGCGCAACCCCUGCCGUUAGUUGCCAGCGAGUAAUGUCGGGAACUCUAACGAAACUGCCAGUGCAAACUGUGAGGAAGGUGGGGAUGACGUCAAAUCAUCACGGCCCUUACGUCCUGGCUACACGCAUGCUACAAUGGCAAGUACAACGAGUCGCAAUACCGCGAGGUGGAGCA
rnacentral:rRNA from 1 species